AACGAACGCUGGCGGCAGGCUUAACACAUGCAAGUCGAGCGCCCCGCAAGGGGAGCGGCAGACGGGUGAGUAACGCGUGGGAACCUACCCUUUUCUACGGAAUAACGCAUGGAAACGUGUGCUAAUACCGUAUACGCCCUACGGGGGAAAGAUUUAUCGGAGAAGGCAGGGCCCGCGUUGGAUUAGCUAGUUGGUGGGGUAAAGGCCUACCAAGGCGACGAUCCAUAGCUGGUCUGAGAGGAUGAUCAGCCACAUUGGGACUGAGACACGGCCCAAACUCCUACGGGAGGCAGCAGUGGGGAAUAUUGGACAAUGGGCGCAAGCCUGAUCCAGCCAUGCCGCGUGAGUGAUGAAGGCCCUAGGGUUGUAAAGCUCUUUCACCGGAGAAGAUAAUGACGGUAUCCGGAGAAGAAGCCCCGGCUAACUUCGUGCCAGCCGCCGCGGUAAGAC
rnacentral:rRNA from 1 species